rnacentral:rRNA from 1 species
GACGAACGCUGGCGGCGUGGAUUAGGCAUGCAAGUCGAACGGUAUCAUCCUUUCGGGGGUGAGAGAGUGGCGAACUGGUGAGUAACACGUAGGUUAUCUACCCUCAAGACGGGGACAACCCAGGGAAACUUGGGCUAAUACCGGAUGUGAGCAACUUUUAGUUGUUUGAAAGGUGGCGUAAGCUGUCGCUUGGGGAUGAGCCUGCGUCCUAUUAGUUAGUUGGUGAGGUAACGGCUCACCUAGGCAAUGAUAGGUAGGCGGCCUUAACGGGUGGUCGCCCACACUGGGAUUGAGAUACGGCCCAGACUCCUACGGGAGGCAGCAGUCGAGAAUAGUCUACAAUGGUCGGAAGACUGAUAGUGCGACGCCGCGUGAACGAUGAAUCCCUUCGGGGUGUAAAAGUUCUUUUAUAUGUGAGCAGUGCUUCUUAUAUUAACAGUAGUGGGGAAGAGAUAUUAGCAUAUGAAUAAGCAACGGCUAACUCCGUGCCAGCAGCCGACGGUAAAA